rnacentral:rRNA from 1 species
GACGAACGCUGGCGGCGUGCCUAAUACAUGCAAGUCGAACGCAGUGGGGACGGGUGAGUAACACGUGGGUAACCUCCCAUCAGAGGGGAUAACACUUGGAAACAGGUGCUAAACCGAUACUGAUGGAUGGACCCGCGGUGCAUUAGCUAGUUGGUGAGGUAACGGCUCACCAAGGCCACGAUGCAUAGGCGAACUGGGGUGGUGAUCGGGCAAAAUGGGGAUGAGAACAGGCCCAAAAGCCUAAGGGAGGCAGCAGUAGGGAAUCUUCGGCAAUGGACGAAAGUCUGACCGAGCAACGCCGCGUGAGUGAAGAAGGUUUUCGGAUCGUAAAACUCUGUUGUUAGAGAAGCGGUAUCUAACCAGAAAGCCACGGCUAACUACGUGCCAGCAGCCGCGGUAAUAC